GAUGAACGCUGGCGGCGUGCCUAAUACAUGCAAGUCGAGCGAACGGACGAGAAGCUUGCUUCUCUGAUGUUAGCGGCGGACGGGUGAGUAACACGUGGAUAACCUACCUAUAAGACUGGGAUAACUUCGGGAAACCGGAGCUAAUACCGGAUAAUAUUUUGAACCGCAUGGUUCAAAAGUGAAAGACGGUCUUGCUGUCACUUAUAGAUGGAUCCGCGCUGCAUUAGCUAGUUGGUAAGGUAACGGCUUACCAAGGCAACGAUGCAUAGCCGACCUGAGAGGGUGAUCGGCCACACCGGAACUGAGACACGGUCCAGACUCCUACGGGAGGCAGCAGUAGGGAAUCUUCCGCAAUGGGCGAAAGCCUGACGGAGCAACGCCGCGUGAGUGAUGAAGGUCUUCGGAUCGUAAAACUCUGUUAUUAGGGAAGAACAUAUGUGUAAGUAACUGUGCACAUCUUGACGGUACCUAAUCAGAAAGCCACGGCUAACUACGUGCCAGCAGCCGCGGUAAUACCUAAGUGGCAAGCGUUAUCCGGAAUUAUUGGGCGUAAAGCGCGCGUAGCGGUUUUUUAGUCUGAUGUGAAAGCCCACGGCUCAACCGUGGAGGGUCAUUGGAAACUGGAAAACUUGAGUGCAGAAGAGGAAAGUGGAAUUCCAUGUGUAGCGGUGAAAUGCGCAGAGAUAUGGAGGAACACCAGUGGCGAAGGCGACUUUCUGGUCUGUAACUGACGCUGAUGUGCGAAAGCGUGGGGAUCAAACAGGAUUAGAUACCCUGGUAGUCCACGCCGUAAACGAUGAGUGCUAAGUGUUAGGGGGUUUCCGCCCCUUAGUGCUGCAGCUAACGCAUUAAGCACUCCGCCUGGGGAGUACGACCGCAAGGUUGAAACUCAAAGGAAUUGACGGGGACCCGCACAAGCGGUGGAGCAUGUGGUUUAAUUCGAAGCAACGCGAAGAACCUUACCAAAUCUUGACAUCCUUUGACAACUCUAGAGAUAGAGCCUUCCCCUUCGGGGGACAAAGUGACAGGUGGUGCAUGGUUGUCGUCAGCUCGUGUCGUGAGAUGUUGGGUUAAGUCCCGCAACGAGCGCAACCCUUAAGCUUAGUUGCCAUCAUUAAGUUGGGCACUCUAAGUUGACUGCCGGUGACAAACCGGAGGAAGGUGGGGAUGACGUCAAAUCAUCAUGCCCCUUAUGAUUUGGGCUACACACGUGCUACAAUGGACAAUACAAAGGGCAGCGAAACCGCGAGGUCAAGCAAAUCCCAUAAAGUUGUUCUCAGUUCGGAUUGUAGUCUGCAACUCGACUACAUGAAGCUGGAAUCGCUAGUAAUCGUAGAUCAGCAUGCUACGGUGAAUACGUUCCCGGGUCU
rnacentral:rRNA from 1 species